rnacentral:rRNA from 1 species
CACGUAGGGCGCAAGCGUUGUCCGGAAUUAUUGGGCGUAAAGAGCUCGUAGGCGGUCUGUUGCGUCCGCUGUGAAAACUCGGGGCUUAACCCCGAGCCUGCAGUGGAUACGGGCAGACUAGAGGUAGGUAGGGGAGAAUGGAAUUCCCGGUGUAGCGGUGAAAUGCGUAGAUAUCUGGAGGAACACCGGUGGCGAAGGCGGCAUCCUGGACCGACAUUGACGCUGAGGCGCGAAAGCCAGGGGAGCAAACGGGG